rnacentral:rRNA from 1 species
CCUACUCCUACGGGAGGCAGCAGUGGGGAAUAUUGCACAAUGGGCGCAAGCCUGAUGCAGCAACGCCGCGUGAGGGAUGACGGCCUUCGGGUUGUAAACCUCUUUUAGCAGGGAAGAAGCGAGAGUGACGGUACCUGCAGAAAAAGCACCGGCUAACUACGUGCCAGCAGCCGCGGUAAUACGUAGGGUGCAAGCGUUAUCCGGAAUUAUUGGGCGUAAAGAGCUCGUAGGCGGUUUGUCGCGUCUGCUGUGAAAUUCCGAGGCUCAACCUCGGGCUUGCAGUGGGUACGGGCAGACUAGAGUGCGGUAGGGGAGAUUGGAAUUCCUGGUGUAGCGGUGGAAUGCGCAGAUAUCAGGAGGAACACCGAUGGCGAAGGCAGAUCUCUGGGCCGUAACUGACGCUGAGGAGCGAAAGGGUGGGGAGCAAACAGGCUUAGAUACCCUGGUAGUCCACCCCGUAAACGUUGGGAACUAGUUGUGGGGUCCUUUCCACGGAUUCCGUGACGCAGCUAACGCAUUAAGUUCCCCGCCUGGGGAGUACGGCCGCAAGGCUAAAACUCAAAGGAAUUGACGGGGACCCGCACAAGCGGCGGAGCAUGCGGAUUAAUUCGAUGCAACGCGAAGAACCUUACCAAGGCUUGACAUACACGAGAACGGGCCAGAAAUGGGUCAACCUC